CACUAGCUUGUAAUAAUAUACCCAUUGCUUCUGCUCUUUGAGCCGAAUCGAGUUCGACAUUUGUGGGUUGUUGUUGCAAUAGUUUCAAGGCUUCGGCAAGGUUUUUAGAUUGGCAGAGCGUGUUUAUUUUUGAGGUAGAGAGGGUUGAGGGGUUGAAGUGAAAGACGAGUAUUUGGUUUGCGGAGAGAAGAGCGAAAGUGAUGAUUUUGGGAUAAAAUGGGUUUUGUGGAUUUGAAAGCGGCGGAAUGAAAAUGGUGGCGCCACCACAGACAUGGCGGAAUUUUUGG
rnacentral:lncRNA from 1 species